AAAGGAAAUAAGAGCGCAG
rnacentral:rRNA from 1 species